rnacentral:rRNA from 1 species
CCUACGGGUGGCAGCAGUCGAGAAUCAUUCACAAUGGGGGAAACCCUGAUGGUGCGACGCCGCGUGGGGGAAUGAAGGUCUUCGGAUUGUAAACCCCUGUCAUGUGGGGGCAAAUUAAAAAGAUAGUACCACAAGAGGAAGAGACGGCUAACUCUGAGCCAGCAGCCGCGGUAAGACAGAGGUCUCAAGCGUUGUUCGGAAUCACUGGGCGUAAAGCGUGCGUAGGCUGUUUCGUAAGUAGUGUGUGAAAGGCGCGGGCUCAACCCGCGGACGGCACAUGAUACUGCGAGACGAGAGGAAUGGAGGGGGAACCGGAAUUCUCGGUGUAGCAGUGAAAUGCGUAGAUAUCGAGAGGAACACUCGUGGCGAAGGCGGGUUCCUGGACAUUAACUGACGCUGAGGCACGAAGGCCAGGGGAGCGAAAGGGAUUAGAUACCCCUGUAGUC